rnacentral:rRNA from 1 species
GGGUGCRCGAUCGACCGACCGAGAUCUUCUGAGAAAGGUUCGRGUGCGAGCAUGCCUGUUGGGACCCSAAAGAUGGUGAACUAUGSSUGAGGCAGGCGAAGCCAGAGGAAACUCUGGUGGAGGCUCGCRGCGAUACUGACGUGCRAAUCGUUCGUCAGACUUGGGUAUAGGGGCGNNAGACUAAUCGAACCAUCUAGUACGGCRRCGGACGGCAACGUNAASGAAUCCGGAGACGCCGNCGGGGGCCUCGGGAAGAGUUCUCUUUUCUUUUUAACAGCCUGCCCACCCUGAAAUCGGAUUACCCGGAGAUAGGGUCCAGCGGCUGUAAGAGCACCGCAUGUCUNGCGGUGUCCGGUGCCCCCGGCGGCCCNUNANAAUCCGGAGGACGGAAAAGGAUUGGCUCUGAGGGCUGGGCCUAGGGGUCUNGCGCCCCGGACCCGUAGGCUGUCGGCGGUCUGCCCGAGCUGCUCCGCGUGCCGACCGGGCGAAGCCCCCGGGGCUCUCCCUAGGCAGUGAACNGCGGACUCAGAACUGGUACGGMSNAGGGNAAUCCGACUGUUUMMUUAAAACAAAGCAUUGCSNUGAU